CGAGUUUUCGUGCGCCCGUUGGAGCGGCGUGCUUCCGUCUCGGCAUUCAUAUUUUGGUAAGCUAUCGGGAUUUGGCUUAAUCCUUAAGUUUAAGUGUUCUAAUAGCCUCUAAUGUGAAGUUAGCUUGUUAAAUCCUUAAUAUUUGGAUUGUUUGGAGCAUAUGUUGAGGCUAGGGUGUGAAAAUGGGGGUUUACAAAUUAGGUGGGGUUUGAUCUAAUUUGACCCUUCGUAAACCUAAUUGCAAGGUAAACGAACGCGUUGGCGAAGUCGGUUCGGCGAUUCGUCGAGCCGUUGUAAAGUUAUUAAAGAAACGGUCGUUUAGGCUUCGUUUCCGCCUGGAGGGCCGAGGCGACAUCGUAUACUCAUGAAAACGGAUUUGAAGCAUCGUGGCACAUAACCGAAGACCUUUAAUUUUCGGAUCGUGAAUUGGAGGCCGUUCGGGUGGUCGCGCGAGAGAUCGGGCCAAACCGGGUGCCGGGUGCCGCGGGAGGCCGAUUGCAAGUGUCGACAAGCAAUCGGAAUGCGAUAAAAGGUGGGGGGUGUCAUCCCGAAGCAACUGAGCUUCCUUUUAUGUCUAAGUUCUAUAUCUUGAUCAUAUUCCUAUAUGUUGAUAUAUUGUGCAUUAUAGGAUUAGUAGAUGAUUACAUUUCCAUUCCUUGCAUGUUACCUAGGUUGUGUAGCAUUGUGGGCUUGACACUUGAUCUUAGGUUGCAUGAGGAUUGGGUCUUGUGACAAGAAUCCUAUAGUGACAAGAAUGAUGAUGAACUUUGACAUGUAAUUGGCCUAGACGAGUGGCAUUUGAACUAGUGUAACAAAGACACUAUAAUAUUGACGAGUGGCAUGUCGAUUUAGUGUAUUAAGACACAUAUAACAUCAUGACAUAGACGAGUGGCAUCAAAUCUAGUGUAGUGGAACACUAUGGCAUUUGAACCUAGGGAUAGUAGAUUUUCCCGAUUGUCAUGUUGUAGACAUUAUGCAUUUGGCAUUAGUGCAUUUGAGGCAUUGAUUAUGCAUUUGGCAUUAGUGCAUUUGAGGCAUUGAUUAUGCAUUUGGUAUUGUGCAGCAGAGGCACAUUGACCCUGGUAGAUAGGGUAUCCUCGUAAGAGGAU
rnacentral:lncRNA from 1 species